rnacentral:rRNA from 1 species
GAUAGAUAUCAAUUUAAAAUAUUUAAUCUAAGAAUAUAAGGGUAGAGCUUUAUCAUUCAAUAAUAAAUGAAAUAUAAGUUAAUAAGUAUUUAUUUUGAUAAUUAGGUUUUUUAGUGGCCAUAUUUUUAAAGUGUUUUAACUAAUACAAUUGAAUAAUUUAUUUAUUAGAUUUUAUUAAAUUAAUAAUAUGUUUUUCAAAAUGGAUAAAUAUUAGAAAUAAUGAAAAUAUUAGUAGAAUUAAUAUAUGAGAAAAAAGAAAAGUAUUAAAAGUAAAAUAUGAAAUAGUUAAGAAAAAAAUAGAGGAACUCGGCAAAUAAGGUUCUUGCCUGUUUAACAAAAACAUGUCUCUAUGAAGUUAUAUGAAGUCUGACCUGCCCAUUGAAAUUUAUUAAAAGGCCGCGGUAUAUUAACUGUGCAAAGGUAGCAUAAUUAGUAGUUUUUUAAUUGAAGGCUUGUAUGAAAGGUUGGACAAGGGAUAAGCUGUCUUUAUUUUUAUUUUUGAAUUUGUCUUUUAAGUGAAAAGACUUAAAUAAGUUUAAGGGACGAUAAGACCCUAUAAAUCUUUAUAUUAGUUUAAUUUUAUUUUAAAUUUUAAUGUUUAAAAGAGUAAAGUUAAUAUAGUAUUGUAUUGGGGUGAUAGGAAUAAUUAGUAAACUGUUCGAAGGUAUAAACAAAAAUAUUUGAUACAUAAUUAUUAGUAGAUCCUUAGUGGAGAUUACAAGUUUAAGUUACUUUAGGGAUAACAGCGUUAUUUUUUUUGAGAGUUCUAAUCGAAAAAGAAGUUUGCGACCUCGAUGUUGAAUUAAAAUUUCUUUGUGGUGUAGUAGUUACAAGAGAGAGUCUGUUCGACUUUUAAAAUUUU